CUCAUCCCUGCAGGCUCAGGGAUGUCUGCUUCCACCUGCCUGACCACUCUCCUCUCCGGGCACCUUCUCCAAUUUCAGAGCAGGCUUUGGGCUGAGCCCCAGGGGCCAUGAAUGACAGCAGGAAGCAAACUGGUUCCUGGGCAGAAGAGGCCUGGUCCCCAGUUUAUAAAAGCCCUGGGCUCAGCCAGAGCAGGGCAGAGGAUGGCCAGAGGAUGAAGAGAGCAGAGGACGGGCAGACAACCAGCUGCAGAAAGGAGUACCCUCUCUGCUGAUGGCUGGAGAUGAUGGGAUGACCAGCUGCAGAGAGCUGCAGAGACAACCUGCCAUGAAAGAGGUGCUACCUUCUCUGUUGAGAGCUUCAGAGACCUGCAGCAAUGUCAAAAUGACUUGCUGCAGAGAGGAGUCACCCUCUCUAGAGCCUCCUCUCUGCUAAGAUCUGAACGUUUCACUGGGCAACCUGUCUAUAGAGAGGAGCUACCCACUCCUCUGAGCUGUUCUAA
rnacentral:lncRNA from 10 species